GAAGACUGAAUUUAUUUGAAAUGCUUUGAUAAGAUUUAUUAAAAAAUAUCCCUUGGCAGUUGACAAUCACCACGAUCUACAACAGGAACCCGGCUGGGUAACAUCAGAACAAUUUUUGCCUACAACCAAAGGCGAACACCCAGGAACACUCAAGCAUGGCUUACACACACCUACGGGCAUUAAAAAUGGGAGCAUCAAGGAACACGGUGCAACCACUUGCUGCAGAGAAAACUGCACCACACACGUGUUACACAUGUGCUCUGGUACUUACCACGGUGGUGGAAAAUCCCAAACCUUUUUAAAAUAUGGGGAAAACAACAAAUUGGCACCCUCAGAGAAACCAGACUCCAUGGCUCCACGAUUCCAGGAGGACAAAGCUCUUGGUCUGCUGCAGCCACAGGGGAAACCAGGGAAGGGGGAGCUCCGACACCUGGUUGGACCUGCACAGGAGCAUCCUGCUGCACAGCCCCAUCACCAGCACACACGAUGAGAAGGGCUGGAGCUGCAGUAGGUGGCAGCAGCCGGUCUCUGGUCUCAGUGGGCACAGUGGAGUGCCUGGGCACAGAUCCUGAGGGAACCACAAAAUCCUCCAGGUCAAAUCCUAACUUUGAAGGGCUCAGGGCUUCACUAGGUUAUUUCCUCCCUGCCUCAGUGAAAGCCAAUGAAUACACAGUGGGAUACUUAAGAGAGACCCCAAGGGAGGCAGGGGUGUCUGGGAGACAGACAGACAGACGUGCUGAGCUGCCUGCAGCAGUCCAACACCUUCAGCUCUUCUGCAUGGACAGAUUCUGAUUUUGAAAGUGUAACGGCUCCUCUUCUCGGAAAGCCGCUCCUGGUCAGUCAUUUCUUGUCCUGUGGGCUCAUACUCCAGAACAACAAUGCCUCACCCCCACUUUCCAAGCAGAUUAAGAGAACCCAAGCAAGACACUGCUAUUCCAGAACCAACCACCAGUGCUCUCUGCUAAAGAAAAAACCAACUAUUUUAAAACUCAUCCCCAAUUUUGGCCAAAGCAAGGUCCCCACAUGGAAAAGCUCCUGCCAAGACCUCCCGCCGUGACCAGCAGCGACCACACGAUGGCUGCAGAGAUGCUGCUGGCCGAGCGGUGGCGCGGCCCCUUCCCAACACUUCAGAACAGUAUUAAAAUGAGGAAAAAUUAGGAAGGAGUUAUCUCCUGCCUAAUUUAGGAAGGAUUCCCCACCAGCAUUGGGAACACAAAGGUCAUUUGCUGCCAACCAACACAUCAAAGUGCAGCAAGUCUAUGUGACAAACUCCUUUUGUGUUUGAAAUGCCUUCUAAGUAUGCACCUCAUCAUAAUUUAACUUGGUGGUUUCAUGAUUUAUCAAAGAAACAUUGUAAAAAGCCAGAUCCAAAGCAAAGGCCUGAAAAAAACUUCUCUUCCAGACUAUUACUCUUUGACACAACGUGCAAACGGCCCAGGGCUGCGUUUGAAGUCGUGCCGGAGCAAAAAUAAGAAAGCGAACCAAUUUCAGGUUGACAUAGUGUAUUGUGAAUUACGUUCUCAGCUUUUCUACAGCUACGAUAGCGUGAAAUGAUCUGCCAUACAGUAAAACAGUUUAAUAUACAAUUGAUUACAGAGCUGUAGUAAGGAGUCGGAGAUAAUACGCGGUUUAUCUAUAUACAUAUAUAGCUUAAUAUUUCACAGAUACAACUUUUUCCCAUUUCGGUUUUGUCAACGAAGUGGAGGCAGAGUAUUUACAGGGAAGCCGCUGCAAGGAAGCCCCGUCCCCAGCAAAGCCCCGGCAGAAGCUGCCGCGUCCCCCAGCGGUGUGUGUAAACAGAGCGGGUCUCUCCUUUUGCAGGAAGGGAUGGGACAAGGUGGGGGGACACAGGCUUCGCUGGGGCAGGAGAGAAGGAAAACAGAGAUGUUGUGAGGAAACCAUCCCCAGCUAACCCGGAGAUUUCCAAAUGGUUUAAUUUGCCUUUUUAUUUCCUUUUAACUGGAAACUGCUCUCAAGUAAUGUUGCAACUCAUAAUUCAAUCACAUUCUCAGUUAACACUUUCUAUACCAUCUCCAUGUGCUUAUGCAAGGUCGGGCAGUGCUGAAGCCUUGGGCAAUACUGGCAAGGCAGCUUUGAAAGGAAGCAGGGGGUGGUUGGGAGUCCCGGCCCAGUGCUGCUGCCCAGCUGACAGCCCCUCGGAGAACCAAAGCCAACCCUGGAUUGAGUUUCUUGCUUCACGGAGAGUUUCUCACAGGCAACUGGAUACUGCAGCUCGACACUCAGUGACUGCUCGUGUAGGGUCAGGUGUUGGUGUGAUGCUGUAUAAACCACAGCAGGACAGACCCAGACCUGAGCCAAACCAUCCACAUGGCCUGGCCACAGUUAGACAUGCAUGAUGCCUAGUGCACAGUUUUAAUAACCAGCUGAGAUUUGCUGAUGUGGAAACACAAAACGCAACCAAGAGACUGGGAGGGAAGACGUAUUGACAAAGGCAUCUGACUGCCACCAGGCUGGCCGGAAAGUGGCUCAGCCAAGCAGGGCAGUGGGAUGCUGCUCCUGAAGCAGAGCUCCCAGACCUCAUCCACCUCACCAGCUCAGGGGGACUUGGAGCCCACUGCUGCCCAGCACUGCUGUGGGACCGACAUGGCGGCUUCUCAGUGUCCAGCUCUCUUUCCCAACUCACCCAGCUUUCCUGUCAUCUCCAUCCCUGCUUUCUCCAUAUCAAUGCCACAGGACUGAAAGAGCCAGGGGGUGGGAAAGGAGGAAUCCAGCCCCUGCUGCCAGCAAAGAAGGCAUUUUACGCCCAGUUAAAAAUACUGUUUCUUUGAAAGAAGGAGCUUUCCCAAGCAAUGCGAUAUAAAAAGCUAUCACGCCAGCCCUGGGGAAGCGAGGUGACUUUCCUGAGAGCACAAGGGGGAGCCUCUCUACCUGCUCCUGGGUAAUUCAGUGAGGGGGGCCAAGGUCCUUAUCAUCUUUGGAUACUGCCGCCACCUCCUCGCACAGAGGAGACACCCACCAUUGAGGAGAAUUCUCAGCACAAGAUCAAAACUGGGUUUUGUCUCUCAGCAGAUGUUUGGGGUUGUUAAGGCUCUUGGCUUUAAAGAGUUUAUUACUUUGGAAUUUUAAAGCUGUACUCGCAGUAGAGUAUAACAAGUCUCUGUCUCAGCACCUCUCUCUCUUUUAACAUGAUCUCUGAAAACUAGAAGAAAUUAAAUUGGGGAGAGGGUUACUCUGGCAACUAUGCAAUCCUGAACUACUGCACAUGAAGAGAAACAGACAGUGCUGCUGGGACCGUGCCGGCACCUGCGCAAUGGCCAAAUCCUGGUUCAUGCAGUUAUGUGGAGCAGACCACUGCAUCCAAAGCCAGGUUGGACAAAGCCUCAGGGGACAUGGUCCAGUGUGAAGUGUCCCUGGCCAUGGCAGGGGGGUUGGAACUAGAUGAUCUUAAGGUCCUUUCCAACCCAAACCAUUCUAUGAUUCUACAAUACUGCAGCCCCCUCAGACAAUUUCUAGGAGCAGCAGCACAAUGGAGUUAUACAGCUGAUAUUAGAAGUAAAUGACAAAUGAAGCUGUGGUCUCACUCAAAUAAAGGUAAAGUUUCAAAGUCGCUAAAGAGGCACUCUCCUGCAGGGCAUACCUGCAGAUGAAUCACAUGCUGCAUUCUUCACUGCCCUGAGCUUAAAUCCUUCAACAACGAAUCAAUACAAACCAUCUUUCAACUGCAAAAUAAUAUUUAGCCAAUGCAUGAAGCUAGAAGCAAGUCAAGAUGUGAGUGGCUGAGGCAGGAAAAGAAGGAAAAACUUGAGAAAGUCACUUUCUUUUUUUGACUUAUCCAAAAGAGGAUUUGAGAACUGAUGCUCAAAGCAGGGACAUGCAUAUUGCUGCUCCUCGCCAACAACAAACUGGUCAGAGCACCACUGGUUAGAGCUGAAACUUAAAAUCUUAGUAACUGUUCCCAGCCACAGCCUUCUCUGCAGCUCUUCAGAUUCAGUGAACGCUGCAACUUCUGGACAUUACGAUACACACUGCUGCAGUGAGCCAGACAAAAGGGAGAGAAUAGAACAAACCAUGGGAAGGCCAAGAGGGGAGAAGCUGACAGCUUCUUUCCAGAAGUAUUCACCAUCACACUGCAACCGACAGCCCUCCUGCUGCAUUGCUGCUGACCCUCGUCUUCCACCUCUCCAGUUUCCUUUACAUUUUGGGUAUAAUCUAGCAGAAAGUGGCCCAACUUCUUGACAGGGCUCCACACAAUCCUACCACCACCACCAGUGGAGAACAGGCUCAGCAACUGCAAGCAGUAAUUAAAGUUUUUCCCUUCAAUGUUGCUCUCCUACAAAUCAAAACAAGGACUGCUACAGCCUGUAUAGAGAACUCAAAAGGAAAAACCCCAUUGGAACAGAUGACUUUCCUGCCCAAACCAGUGUUCCACAUACUGCUUGCGAAGUCUCAGGGAUACUCCAAGACCUCCACUGGGUUUUCACAGCUGCCUGGGCAUCGAGAUGAUAAGAGGGCUGGAGCACCUCCCAUAUGAAGACAGGCUGAGAGAGUUGGGGCUGUUCAGCCUGGAGAAGAGAAGCUGCGUGGAGACCUCAGAGCAGCCUUCCAGUGUCUGAAGGGGGUCUACAAGGAUGCUGGGGAGGGACUCUUCCUUAGGGACUGUAGUGGUAGGACAAGGGGUAAUGGGUUCAAACUUAAACAGGGGAAGUUUAGCUUAGAUAUAAGGAAGAAGUUCUUUACAGUGAGGGUGGUGAAGCACUGGAAUGGGUUGCCCAGGGAGGUUGUGGAUGCUCCAUCCCUGGCGGUGUUCAAGGCCAGGUUGGACAGAACCUUGAGCCACAUGGUUUAGGGCAAGGUGUCCCUGCCCAUGGCAGGGGGGUUGGAACUAGAUGAUCUUAAGGUCCUUUCCAACCCUUACGAUUCUAUGAUUCUAUGUAAGCAUCACAGCACUGGGGAUCCCUGCACCUCCACCUUAACUGUUUCCCUUCCCACAUGAAUAUAAUUCUGUUUUUACAGUCAAAGCACUCCUGCGACAUUUUCAGUAACUGGCAUAGUCAUAUUGGUAACUAACUACUGCGUUUGUAGCAGUUCUGUAAUAUUUAACUAAAGCAGGACUUAAAGAAAUGCUGCUUCAGCAAAUCACAACACUGACAGCAAACACUGGAGUCUAUUUCUUCCUCUCUUCUGCUUUUGCACGUUUGCUAAAACUCAGGGUAAUAAUACUUCUUUUCCACUUCUGGUGUCAUGAAAAAUGAUUUUUUUUUUUCACAGAAUUCUGAAGUUUUACUACGGGGAUGUGCCUGAUGCUCUUCUGUAUCUUCUGCCAAGCAGCUUAACAACAACACAAGGAGAAAGCUGCAGCUGUGACCAAACGAAUGGACCAAGACAUCAAAGCAAACGUACUCUUCCCAUUUGUAUUAGGAAACACAGAGAGGCAAACAGCAGCAAAAGCAGCAUCUGACGCCCUGACCUGCCAGCAGCAGAGUUGAAAUGCUGCUGUGCAACGCAGAAGACACAGUUUAGCAAAGGUGAGGAGCAGGGAGGCAAGAACCACUCAAGCACCCCAUCCAGACUGAGCAAACAAGACCACAGUAGGGAAGAAGGGAGAAAACAAACAGUCUCUAAAUUUGGCAAACUGCCUCCCUGCCCAAGCUGCACAGUUGAUGGCAUAAAGUUGAUUGCUUUACAAAGAGCUGAUCAUAUUAUACCCAACCUCAGGCGCUUGCAGCCUCUCAUGAUGUUGCAAAAUAACAACAGGGAGUUAACAACCGCUCCUUUGCAACUCUCUUUUUUGUUGCAUUCAGAAUUACAGUUUUAGAAAUAGGUUAGAGUAGCAGUUUCAAAAUUCUAGAUAGCCUAAAACCAUGGCUCUUCAAUCAAGAAUAAACUCUCCUCUAGCUAAAAGCUGGUAUGGGUACUGUGUUUGGUUUAUAGCUCCUUUCAUUUUUACUCUGGGCACCCCCUUUCUGUGUUUUAGCCCUGAAGUAAGAGUAUCCAAACACUUUUUUUUUUGGCGAAGCCCUUGGGGAGUCCAUCCUCUCCCCACCUCAUUU
rnacentral:lncRNA from 1 species